CCUACGGGCGGCAGCAGUGGGGGAUAUUGCACAAUGGGGGGAACCCUGAUGCAGCGACGCCGCGUGGGUGAAGGAGUGCUUCGGCAUGUAAAGCCCUAUCGGCAGGGAAGAAGCAAGACGGUACCUGACUAAGAAGCCCCGGCUAACUACGUGCCAGCAGCCGCGGUAAUACGUAGGGGGCGAGCGUUAUCCGGAUUCACUGGGUGUAAAGGGAGCGUAGACGGCCAUGCAAGCCAGGGGUGAAAGCCCGGGGCCCAACCCCGGGACUGCCCUUGGAACUGUGCGGCUAGAGUGCGGGAGGGGCAGGCGGAAUUCCGGGGGUAGCGGGGAAAGGGGUAGAGAUCAGGAGGAACACCGGCGGCGAAGGCGGCCUGCUGGACCGCGACUGACGUUGAGGCUCGAAAGCGUGGGGAGCGAACAGGAUUAGAUACCCGUGUAGUC
rnacentral:rRNA from 1 species